rnacentral:lncRNA from 1 species
AAAAUAGAAGAGAUUAGAAUAGAAUAGAAUAGAAUAGAAUAGAAUAGAAUAGAAUAGAAUAAAAUAGAAUAGAAUAGAAUAGAAUAGAAUAGAAUAGAAUAGAAUAGGACUAAAGUAGAAUAGUAUACAAUAGAGUGGAACCAAAUAGAAUGGAACAUAAUGAAGUAGGAUAACGUAGAAUAGAAUCGAAUAGAAUAAGAAAGAAUGGAAUAGAAUAUAAUACUUUAAAAUAGAGCAGAAUAUGAUAGAAUAGAAUAAAGUAGAACAUAAUAGGGUAGAAAAGAAUAGAGUAGAAACGAAUAGAGUAGAAUAGUAUAGAAUGGAAUGGAAUAAAAUAGAAUAGAAUAAAGUAGAAUAUAAUAUAAUAGAGAAUAAUGGAAUAGAAUGGUAUAGUAUAGAAUUAGGUAGAAUAGAA